GUGGAUUGCUCACGCGACGACGGGUAGCCGGCCUGAGAGGGCGACCGGCCACACUGGGACUGAGACACGGCCCAGACUCCUACGGGAGGCAGCAGUGGGGAAUAUUGCACAAUGGGCGAAAGCCUGAUGCAGCGACGCCGCGUGAGGGAUGACGGCCUUCGGGUUGUAAACCUCUUUCAGCAGGGAAGAAGCGAAAGUGACGGUACCUGCAGAAGAAGCGCCGGCUAACUACGUGCCAGCAGCCGCGGUAAUACGUAGGGCGCAAGCGUUGUCCGGAAUUAUUGGGCGUAAAGAGCUCGUAGGCGGCUUGUCACGUCGGAUGUGAAAGCCCGGGGCUUAACCCCGGGUCUGCAUUCGAUACGGGCUAGCUAGAGUGUGGUAGGGGAGAUCGGAAUUCCUGGUGUAGCGGUGAAAUGCGCAGAUAUCAGGAGGAACACCGGUGGCGAAGGCGGAUCUCUGGGCCAUUACUGACGCUGAGGAGCGAAAGCGUGGGGAGCGAACAGGAUUAGAUACCCUGGUAGUCCACGCCGUAAACGUUGGGAACUAGGUGUUGGCGACAUUCCACGUCGUCGGUGCCGCAGCUAACGCAUUAAGUUCCCCGCCUGGGGAGUACGGA
rnacentral:rRNA from 1 species